rnacentral:lncRNA from 1 species
CUUAUUCAUGGUGUGACAAGAAUACCUGGACACAACAGUCAAAACAAAAGGAAGGGAGGUGAUUAGGGUCAGAACUUCAGCUGAGAGUAGCAAUGUAACAAUGAAAAUCGAUUUUAAAUUGAAAUGAUGCAUAGCAGUCCAGAGCCCAUUUAAUCAAGCUGUAAUCUAGCAAAACUUCAACCCAAGCUUUCAUAAACCCAAACUCACACCAUUUUAAUCCCCAUAAUGAGGAUAUACCAUUUUCAGGAUUUUGAAAAGAAACAGAUAAUUACUGGAACUUCAAUGAAACAAUAGCUUUUUAUCAAUUUUUUGCUAUUACAAUUUUCAGAUUUUUCUCCCUUAGCUAACUCUAUGAAUAAACUAAUGAGGCAUUUUAUAGGCGGGAUUUUAGGGUAGCAAUCAAGUCUUAGCUCUUUUUCAUUUUCCCUUUUUUGAUUUUUUUUUUAAUUUAGCAGUCCAUCAAUUUAUGACUUGCUUGCCAAGCAAGUCCAUUUUUAGCUUCUAGAAGCUUCUUUGUGACGACCCAAUGGGGUCAUCACUUAUUUAUUUUCCAUUCUGUACUUUUGAGGACUUAAAACCUCCUCUCGAGUUGCCUCUAUUUGUGUACUCUAUCUGGGCGCGUAACCGAAAAACUUAAAUAUGAACUCUAUGAGAAAAAUACUUAAUUUUGAUACUAAAUUGAAUAAAUUUGACUUCGCUCAAAGUUUUUGGUAAAAAGACCCGGUCCCAUGAUUCGAUGGUCCCGGAGGAUCCGUGAAAAAAUAUGGGACUUGAGCGUAUGUCCGGAAUCAAAUUCUGAGGUCUCAAGUCUGAGUAAUAAAUUUUUAUGUGAAAUUAUUUUUCGGAAAUAAUUAAGGAAAAUGGAAACAAAAUUUGAUUAGAAGAUUAGGGUAUCGGGCCCGUAUUUUUGUUCUGGCGCGCGAUACAAGUCUUAUAUAUGACUUAAGCAUUUUCUGUAAAGUUUGAUUUAGAACAGACGUCUUUUGACAUGUUUCGGACCCGAAAUGGGAUUUUUAUGUCUUAUGAAAUAAAUUGAGAAGGAAUCAUGACCUUUGAGACUUGAUUCGAUGUAUAUGAUAUUAUUUGGCGAUUUGAUCGCACAGAUGAGUUCGUAGGGUGUAAUCGAGGUUUUGCGUACAUUUCGUUUGGAGCCCCGAGGGCUGGGUGAGUUUCGAGUAGGUUCUGGGAGGUCUUAGACUUAAAAGCACCAGAUAUUGCAGGUCAGGAAAAGUUGCAGGCUCAAACGCGCCUGUGGUCGCCUUAGCACGGUCCGCGGUGUGUGCUUUGCGGUCCGCAGUGUGUACUGCACGGCCGUGGUCGUUUCUUACGCGGUCCGCGCGGAAAACUUCAGAGAGCCAGCAGUCUUCAGUUAUUUCUCACUUUUCAAAAAAACGAAAACAUAAGAGGCGAUUUUCUUAGCAAUUCUUCUUCUUGAAAAUGAUUGGUAAGUUAUUUCUAACUCAUUUUCUUUACUCCUUAACACCUUUUAACAUAAUUUCAACGUCAAAUCGAAGAUUUUAAUGGGGAAAUAUUGGUAUAUUGGGUAGGACCUAGGGUUUUGCUAAAAUUAGGGGUUGGACCUCAACUCGAGGUCCAAUUUCAAAACUAAUCACAUAAUUGAAUUAGUGGGGAAAUGGGUAACCGGAUUUUUGUUCGAACUUCGGGUUUUAACCAUGUUGGCCUGAGGGGCAUUUUGGUUUUUUAAUCUAAUUUUGUGUCUUAGCUUUAAAUUGAAUAGUAGAAUCGGUUGCUUGAGAUGUUAUUUACGAGAUUUAAUUGAAAUGAAUAGAUUUGGGCCAUUUGGAGUCGGAUAUUCAUGCCAAAGGAGUGGAUUCUUGUUGAUAUUGAGCUUGUUCGAGGUAAAUGGCUUGGCUAACCUUGUGUGUGGGACUUCUUCCCCUUAGGACAUGAUAUUUGGUAUUUGAAUACCUCGUACGUGAGGUGACAAACGCGUACUUGAGCAAAUUGUUGGAAACCCAUUUUUACUUGAAGUAUUAAAUUGAGUCUUCUUUCUUACCUGUUAAUUUUCAAUUGUAAGAUUAUUCUCUGCUAGUUUAGAGAAGCAUGUUCAUUUGACUUACUUUCCUAGGUGCUUAAACUGUUUGUUUGUUACUAUGUGUAGUAUGUUUGGCUAGGAUUUGUAUUUCUUGUCCUUAGUUUAGUAUCUGUCCUAAUGUUUGAGUUGCUAUUGUGUGUUUUUAAAUUGGGACUACGGGCUGGCCUCCCAGGAGAUCCCCCUACACUUGAUAUGUUUUGGAUUGAGGGUGCGGGAUACCAAGAGAUCCCUGGCACAUGAAAUUGUAAUAUAUAUGAUACCAAGAGAUCCUCGGGAUAACAAGAGAUCCCUAGUACAUGAAAUUGUAAGAUUGAGGAUACCAAGAGAUCCUCGGGAUACCAAGAGAUCCCUAGUACAUGAAAUUGUAAGAAUGAGUAUACCAAGAGAUCCUCAGAAUACCAAGAGAUCUCUGACACAUGAAAUUGUAAUAUAGAGGAUACCAAGCGAUCCCUGGCACAUGAAAUAAUAAGAUCUGAGGAUGCCAAGAGAUCCUCGUGAUACCAAGAGAUCCCUGGUACAUGAAAUUGCAAGAUUUAAGGAUACCAAGAUAUCUAUGAGAUACCAAGAGAUCUAUUCCACAUGAAAUUGUAAGAUUUGAGGAUACUAAGAGAUUCUCGGGAUACCAAGAGAUCCCUGACAUGUGAAAUUAAUAAGAUUUGAGGAUACAAGAGAUCCUCGGGAUACCGAGAGAUCCCAGAUCGUGGUUCCUUUUGUGAUUAGUAUUUACUGGUAUUGUCGUGUUUUUCUGCUUUCUAUUAUGGUUUCCAUAUUUAUCUUGUUUAGAUUCUCGCUGUACACUUUAUCUAUACUGUUUAUUUCCUCAUCUUAUUAUUUAUUAUAUUAUAUCUCAGUAGGGCCCAGACCUUUCCUCAUCCCUAUCCAACCGAUGUUAGGCUUGGCACUUACUGAGUACCGCUGUGAUGUACUCAUGCCUCUUCUGCACAUGUUUUUCAUAUGCAUAUCCAUGUACUUCAUCUCAGGCACACUAUCCUUGAGGCUAGGAGAGCAAUAGAGAUUUUGAGGUACUUUUGCAGCGUCUCGCGGACCAAGGAGUCUCCUUCUUUACUCUAUCUAUAGUAUUUAGAAUUCUUCCGCACUUUUUCUUUAGAUAUUCUGGAGUUAGAGCCAUGUAUUACUAUUCGUUAGCUUUUGUUCCCGUGAGAUUUCGGGUUUUUGGAUGAUAUUGUAGACUUUCGCAUUUUGAUUUGUAUAUGUCGGGUGGCCUUGAUAUACAGUUUCUUUUAGUUGUUCAGCUUUAAUUAAUUAUUCUGCAAGUUGUGUUGUUUUCCGCAUUGUUAGGCUUAUUUAGUUAUAGGAACUAGAUGCCAUCAUGACAUGUUUACGGAGGGCGAACUGGGGUUGUGACAUGUUGGUAACGGAGCUCUAGGUUCAUAAGAGUCACAUGACACAAGCCAGUUUAUUAGAGUCUCGCUGAUUGGUACGUAGACAUUUGUACUUAUCUACGAAAGGCUAUGUAACUGUUAGAAAAAUUUCCACUACAUUUGAUUCCCUUGUCGUGCGAUAUUUUGACAUCACAAAAAUUCUAAAUUUCUAACUUCUAUUCUCUAACAGAUGGCGAGGACACGCACUACUCGGGAUGAUCAGGCACCCGCGCCCCUACUGUCUCCGUUAGAGGCCUGGACCGCGGUAGAGGUCGAGGACGCGCGCGUGGUGCAGCCAAAGCACCGGCGCGAGCUGCCAAUGAGUUACCACUAGCAAGUCCAGCCGAAGCCGAGGUACCUGGCACACCAACUACUUCGACUACUACUCCAACCUUUCAGGAGACUUUGGCUCAGUUGAUGAGUAUGUAUACCACCUUGGCUCAGGCAGGAUUGCUCCUCCUUGCUGUAGCCACAUCCCAGGCUGGGAAAGGAGUAAAAACUCCCGCCGUCCGCACUCCUGAGCAGCGAGUGCAGGUUAAGAAGGCUCUCGAGGUUAUUGCUGCACCUGUUGCAAUGCCGAUUCAGCCCGAUGGCAGGUCAGCUGCUUCAGCAGGCGAGCAACGGAGACUUGAGAGGUUCAAGAAGUAUGAUCCCCUAGUGUUCAAUGGAUUAGCAUCAGAUAAUGCCUUAGGAUUUCUAGAGGAGUGUCACCAUAUUCUUCGCACUAUGGGCAUAGUAGAGUCUAGUGGGGUUUCCUUUACUGCUUUUCAGCUUCGGGGAGCCACCUAUGAUUGGUGGAGCACUUAUGAGAUAUACAGUCCAGUUGAGGCUGCUUCACUAACUUAGACCCAAUUCUCGGAUAUGUUAUGAAAGACUUUGUUCCCAGAGUCUUAGGCAUGCAUGGCGCGUAGAGUGAGCAUUUGCGCCAGGGUGCUAUGACCAUUUCAAGUAUGCCAUCUGUUAAACCAGAUUGGCCAGGCAUGCACCGGCCUUGGUUGCUACAGCCCACGAGAGAGUUUGCAGCUUCGUUGAGGGUCUUAUCCCACCCAUCAAUCUAGAAUGGCUCGAGAGUUGGAGAUGGACAUUCUUUAUUAGCAGGUAGUGAGCAUUGCUUAGAGGAUCAAGAGUAUGCUCGCCAAGGAGCAAGUGGAGAGAGAGAGAGGCUAAGAUGUCUCGAGUGUUGGGCCACUACUCUGGUGCCCGUACACCAGCAGCAGGUCAACAUGGUAGGGGGUUUGUGGGUCGCACUGUUCAUUCAGCUCUUCCAGGAGUCAGCAGUGCUCAAGUUCCACCUAUACCGCAAGAGCCUUACUAUGCACCUUCAGUUUCUAGCGUGUCUCAUGCGCGGGGUGUUUCUAGUGUUCAGUCCAGUAGAUUUAACUCUAUUGAAUCACAACCACUGCACCCUCCCAGAGCUUGUUUUGACUGUGGCGAUACCCACCGUAUGGUGAGGGAUUUCCCUAGACUUGGGAGGAGUACCCCUACGGCCUUCUCAGUGACAGCGUGCUCAGCAGAGUUCUCAAGCCAUAAUCAUAGCUAUGGUUGCUGCCCCACCCGCUCAUCCAGCUAGAGAUGGAGGCCGGGGAGGUAGAGGUCGCCCUCGAGGGGGAGGCUAGGCUAGAUAUUAUGCCCUUCCCCGCUCGUGUCGAGGAUGUUGCCCCCAAUUUUGUUAUCAUAAGUAUUAUACUGGUUUUUCACAGAGAGGCGUCAGUUCUAUUCGAUCCAGGCUCUACUUAUUCUUAUGUGUCUUUUUACUUUGCUCUGUAUUUGGGUGUGACUCAGGAUUCUUUGAGUGCCCCUGUUUAUGUUUCUACUCAUAUGGGGGAUUCCCUUAUUGUUGAUGGCGUUUAUUGAUCAUGUUUGGUCACUAUUCGCGAUUUUGAGACCAGAGCGGAUUUAUCGCUACUUGGUAUGGGUGAUUUUGACAUUAUCCUAGGCAUGGACUGGUUGUCGCCCGAUUUUUCUAUUCUUAAUUGUCAUGCCAAGACCGUGACGCUGGCUAUGCCAGGUAUUUCAUGUAUAGAGUGGAGUGGCACUUUAGAUCACACUCCCAAUAGAGUUAUCUCUUUCCUUAAGGCUCGGUGUAUGGUUGAGAAGGGGUGCGUCGUGUAUUUAGCAUACGUGAGAGAUGUUAGUACUGAUACCCUUUCUGUUGAUUUAGUCCCAGAGGUACAGGAUUAUCCCGGUGUGUUUCCAGCUGAUCUUCCGGGCAUGCCACCCGUUUGAGACAUUGAUUUUGGCAUUGACUUGUUUCUGGGUACUCAGCCCAUUUCCAUUCCUGCGUAUCAUAUGUCUCCUUCUAAGCUGAAGGAAUUGAAGGAUCAGUUGCAGGAAUUGCUUGAUAAGGGUUUUAUUUGACCUAGUGUUUGCCUCGAGGUAGGAAGGCUAAAUAAAGCACCACGCACUAUUUUGUUUUUCUAGUUUAUUUCCCUUUAACAUUUUGUCUUUUUCCAAAAACAGCUCCGAUGUUCAAAAUCUUCAUGGAAUUUAUUAAAGUAUUUCAUUUUCUUAUAAGUCUUACACUUAUUAUUUUCAUUACUUUACUCAAAAAAUGUUACCGUUACUUUACUUGAUGAACCAAUGAUAGUGACAUGCUACGAGACAACGCAACAAACAGACAUAGAUUUAGAGGAAGAUGAUAUACUAGGGGAGAUUGUUAAGGAAGUUGAGAAUUUCGAGAAUAGGCCUAAGUUCAACUUGGAUGAGACUAGGAUUUUCACCCAAGGAGAUGCAGAAAACAUCGAAGAAACACGAAUCAGCAUCCAUUUGUCAACGUCAGAAAAAAAAGAAUAUACAGAGUUCCUAAGAGAGUUUGGAGACAUAUUCGCUUGGUCAUACCAAGACACGACUGGUCUAAACACAUCCAUCAUGGAUCACAAAUUGCCGACUAAUGCGGCAUGUCCUCCAGUGAAGUAGAAGCUCAGAAAGUUCGAGCCAUAUAUAAGUCAGAAAAUCAAGGUAGAAGUCACUAAGCAGGUCAAAUCUAAUGUUCUCAGGGUGGUAGAGUAUCCGAGAUGGUUAGCCAAUAUUGUUCCAGUACCAAAGAAGGACAGGAAAGUUAGAGUAUGUGCCGACUACCGGGACCUCAAUCGGGCCUGUCCAAAAGAUGACUUCCCCUUGCCGAACAUACACAUCUUGAUUGAUAAGUGCGCCAAGAACGAGUUGCAGUCAUUCAUUGAUUGUUCCUCUGGGUACCAUCAGAUAUGGAUGGAUGAAGAAGAAGUUGAGGAAAUGACCUUCAUUACACCAUGGGGGAUGUAUUAUUACAAGAUGAUGCCGUUUGGGUUAAAUAAUGAUGGGGCCACCUAAAUGAGGGCCAUGACGACCAUCUUUCAUGAUAUGAUACACAAGGAGAUCAAAAUGUAUGUAGAUGACAUCAUCAUUAAGUCCAAGAAAGUCGUGGAUCACAUGGACGAUUUAAGGAAAUUCUUCAAUAGACCGAGAAGAUAUAACCCGAAGUUGAAUCCCGCAAAAUGUGCAUUCGGCGUUCCAGUUGGGAAAUUGCUUAGAUUCAUCAUGAGGCACCAAGGAAUAGAAUUGGAUCCACCAAAGGUCAAAGCUACUCAAGAAUUGCCACUACCAAAGAGAAAUAAAGAAGUAAUGAGUUUCUUAAGGAGACUUAACUAUAUCCGCCGGUUCAUAGCAGAAUCUACUGUCAUCGGUUAGCCAAUCUUUAAGAUGCUGAAGAAGGAUGCCGCUAUCACAUGGACUGAUGACUGCCAAAAGGCCUUUGACAGAAUGUAGGAGUACUUGUCAACACUACCGGUCUUGGUUCUGCCCGAUCUAGGUAGACCCCUGCUACUUUAACUUGCGGUGCUAGAUGGAGCGUUUGGUUGUGUUCUGGGGCAACAUGAUGAAACAGGGAGAACAGAGCAGGCCAUCUAUUAUCUCAGCAAGAAGUUCACCACAUACAAGGCCAGGUAUUAUCUGUUAGGACCCACCUGUUGUGCUAUUACUUGGGUAGCUCAGUAUCUGAGGCACUAUUUCUGUGCUUACACCACGUAUCUCAUUGCAAUAAUGGACCCUUUGAAGUAUAGUUUUUAGAAGCCCAUGCCCACCGGCAAGCUAGCCAAGUGGCAGAUCCUGCUGAGUGAAUUCGACAUUGUCUACAUGGCUCAAAAAGCAAUCAAAGGACAUACAUUAGCAGAUCACCUUGCGAAAAACCCUGUGGAUGGAGAAUAUGAUCCCUUAAAGACGUAUUUUCCCGAUGAAGAGGUAUCCUUCAUAAGAGAAGACAUUGCAGAAUCCUAUGAAAGUUGGAGGAUGUUUUUCGACUGAGCAGCAAAUUUCCAAGGAGUUGGCAUUGGAGCAGUCCAAGUAUUAGAAACCAGCCAACAUUAUUCGGUAUCUUCCAAACUCAAGUUCCCAUGCACCAACAAUGUGGCUAAAUAUGAAGCUUGCAUCUUAGGGCUCAAGAUGGCCAUCGACCUGAACGUCCAAGAGUUGCUAGUGAUUUGAGAUUCGGAUUUUUUUAUACAUCAGGUCUGAGAGGAAUGGACAACUAAGAACACCAAGAUACUCUCACAUUUGCAUCAUGUAUAAUAGUUAAGGAAGAGAUUCACAAAGACAGAAUUUCGGCAUGUUCCCAGAGUCCAGAAUGAAUUUGUGGACGCAUUGGCAACCCUAUCAUCUAUGAUUCAGCAUCCAGAUAAGAACUUUAUAGACCCUAUUCUGGUGGAGACUCAUGAUCAGGCAGCCUAUUGUGCUCAUGUCGAGGAAGAAGUAGACAGAAAGCCUUGGUUUCAUGAUAUUAAGGAAUAUUUGGCAAAUGGACAAUACCCAGAACUUGCAAAUCCUACUCUGAAGCACACACACCACAAGUUAUCUAAUAAUUUCUUUCACAGCGGAGGAAUAUUGCAUAGGAGGACUCCCGAUUUGGGAUUACAAAGGUGUGUCGACGAAAAGGAAGCAUCUAAACUGUUAGAAGAAAUCCAUGUUGGGAACUGCGGUCCACAUAUGAACGGUUUUGUAUUAGCCAAGAAGAUACUACGGGAAGGUUAUUUUGUGAUGACAAUAGAAACAGACUAUGUCCAGUAUGUUUGAAAGUGUUAUCGCUGUCAGAUACAUGCAUAGAUGAUAAAGGUACCUCCAAACAAGUUUACUGCAACAAGCUCGCCUUGGCCGUGUGGUACUUGGGGAAUUGAUGUCGUCGGACCUAUAGAACCCGCCGCAUCAAACAGGGACAAGUUCAUUCUAGUGGUAAUCGAUUAUUUCACUAAAUGGGUUGAAGCAACAUCAUAUAAAGCAGUGACUAAGAAACUUGUGGCAGACUUUGUUCGCGAUCGCAUCAUUUGUCGGUUCAGAAUUCCGGAGUCAAUCAUCACUGAUAAUGGUUCCAAUCUCAACAACGACUUGAUAAAAUCCAUGAUUGAAACCUUUAGGAUCAAACACAAGAAUUCUACAUCUUAGAGAGCUCAGAUGAAUGGAGCCGUAGAAGCUGUCAAGAACAACAUCAAGAAGAUACUAAGAAAAAUCAUAGAAAAGCAUAAAUAGUGGCAUGAGAAGCUAUCAUUUGCUUUAUUGUGACACCAUACCACAGUUUGCACAUCAAUCGGGGAAACUCCUUACAUGCUGGUUUAUGGUAUAGAGGUUGUCAUUCCCGCAGAGGUGGAAAUUCCCUCGUUGAGAAUCAUACAGGAAGCAAAUUUGGACGACAUAGAAUGUGUAAAGAGUCACUACGAGUAGUUAGCCCUCAUAGAUGGAAAAAGAAUGAACGCACUCUAUCAUGGUCAACUUUAUUAGAAUAUAAUGUUUAGAGCCUUCAACAAAAGAGUCAACCAAAGAUAAUUUACACUAGGGCAGCUGGUGCUAAAUAAGAUUUUUCCAUAUCAAUAGGAAUCUAAAGAGAAACUCUCUCCCAAUUGGCAUGGUCCGUACAUGGUUCAUCGUGUUCUAACAGGAGGAGCCAUCAUACUUGCAGAAAUGGACGGAGAAAGUGUGGCCAAAACCAAUCAAUGUAGAUGCAACAAAGAGAUACUAUGUGUGAUCUUACACUUUCCUACAUGAUGUAAUUUGGAACUAUUUCUGACCUGAUUCCCGUUUAAGAGGGGAUACGUAGGAAGCCUUAUGGGUUCAAUCAUAAUUAAAUAAAAUUUUCACUUCCCUCGCAAUUGGUAAUUGGUGCAUAAUUUUGAGGAGGACCCAUAAAAUUUUGAAGUAGCUUCAGCCGAUCAUUGCAAGUAGCAGUCACAACUAUCGACCUGGUAAAUUGGGGCAGAUUUUUUAGGAGGACCCUCAAAAUUUCAAAGCAACAAAGGUUGCAUUGUCUGGAACCACAUCACAGUCGUUGGUUCAUCUAAGAAAAACUAUUUUUUAUAUAUUUAUGUUAAGUAUUACUAAAUCACCAUUGCUUUGUUUAGCGACGCUACCCCGAUGAUACACAACACCCAUGAAAACAGAACCAAGCAGGAUAGGAAAGCUCACAAGGAUUCGAACUAACUUUUCCCCUCUACAAACUCACAAUAUUUCUUUGGAUGCAGGCUAUCGAGUUGCAAAUCACUGAAACAUUUAUUCACUCGUACUUCUCGGGAAUACGACCCUCGGAACCAUCAUUGACACACAUUUUCUAUCCGCACGUGACAUCUUCAACAGCCACAAUAUUGCUAUCCGCUAUUAGCCAUCAGCUAAGAAUUCUGUCUCUAUUUUUUUCUGCAUUGAAUAAGGCUACCUUUCUGCCUUCCGAGGUUAAGCUCUACCUCUACCUGUAUUUUUCUGCAUUUCAUAGGGCUAUUAUUCUGUCCUUCGAGACUAAGCUCUAUAUCUAUCUGCAUUUUUUUGCAUCGCAUAAGGCUACCUUUCUGCCUUUCGAGACUAAGCUCUGUCUCCAUCUGACUUUUUUUCGCAUUGCAUAAGGCCACAUUUAUGCCUUCCGAGGUUAAGCUCUACCUCCAUCUGCAUUUCUACAUUGCAUAAGGCUACCUUUCCUCCUUCCGAGGUUAAGAUCCACCUACAUCUAUAUUUCUCUGCAUUGCAAAAGACUACCUUUCUGCCUUCCAAGGUUAAGUUGUACCUCCAUAUGCAUUUUUGCAUUGCAUAAGCCUACCUUUCCGCCUUCCGAGGUUGAGCUCUGCCUCCAUCUGCAUUUUUUAUGCAUUGCAUAAAGCUACCUUUAUGCCUUCUGAGUUUAAGACCUACCUCCAUUGCAUGGCAGGAAGAUCGCCAUUUUAUUUACAUUCCUUGCACGGCUAAAAUAUCGCCACUUCAUUUAAAUUCUGCAUCGGCUGAAAGAUCGCCACUUCAUUUACAUUCUGCAUCGGCUGAAACAUCGCCACUUCAUUUGAAUUCUGCAUCAGUUGAAAGAUCGCCAAUUCAUUUAAAUUCUACAUCAGCUAAGAGAUCGAGGUUUUUAUUAACGCCCUCAUGGGAUGAAAGAUCGGCACCUUUUGAAUUUCAUGGGCUAACAGAUCGCCAAAUUAUCCGAAGGCGUCAUUGUUCGGAGGAACCAUCUUCAUAGUACGAGAACGCCACGCCAUGGCUUGAGGACCCCAUUUUGUCUUAUGCAUAUCAUUAUUCAAAGGCAUCAUAGUUUGGAGGCAUCAUUCUUGUAGCCUGAGAACAUCAUUUCAUGGCCUUUGAAUCCUCUAUUACAUGUUUCACAGCCCAGGACAUCAUUGUCCUAGGACGUCAUCCUAAACGUCCAAAGACAACAUUUAUGGUCCAAUAGGAACUUGCAUCACGUUUAAAUUUAUGCACGAUAUAUGUUCGUAUUGCUCAAUUGCAGGUGCACCGGCUAGCAACAGCCGUCUCAGCAGGAGCGAUUCGGCUCCUAUUCCCGCAGCCCUACUAGACUAUAACCAUCCACCCCAACCGAAAUAUUUCUUGAAAGACCUCCAUCGGAAUACUCCGCAGACAUAUCCUGAACUACAUACGGCGUGAUUCCUGUAAGACCAGGGAUAUGUAGGCAGCUUGAAAACCAGAGCAGCCAAAACUCUUCAAAUCGUUUUGUCCGAUCAAAAUUGGUCAUCAUAUCUUUACCCGACAACUCUUUCAUCUUUCCCCAGUAAAGAGGGGCAGCUGUUGAUACCUAAAUUUUACCUACGUAUUUCUAUAUAUAAAAUACUUUUAAAAUAGAAUGUACAUGCAUAUGUGACCAUGCCCAAGAGUUUUGAUAUUUUUUAAAGAUUUUCAAAAUUAAUUUAUUGUAUGUUGUAGCAGUACAAAGUCCAAUAGUUAUUUCCAAGAUUAUCAUUUUGGUGCGUAAUUUACUUUUAUCCUUAUAUUAACGUCAAAAUAUAACUAAGGUAAUUUUCGUAUACUUGUACAAAUUUAUCUGGCAUUUUAAAGCUAAAUUGCUUUUAAUUGCAAUUUUAACCUAUUUUAAGAUUAACAGCAUUUUAUAUUUGUAAAAUUAGUUCCACUACUUUUUAAUUAAUAUUUAUAUAAUAUUAACUGGCUCAAUACUUUUAAUUUUCUUUUAAAAUCAUUUUUUAUUUUUUUAUAAAAUAAAAGAAAAAAAUGGCUAUUUAACAAAUUAACACAAUUUCAAUUUCCAAAUGGGCCAACCCACAACCCAAUUCUAAUGACCCAACCAUUCCCCACCUACCUAAUUACAUCUAAACCGUUGAUAACUCAAGAUCAACGGCCAGAACUCACCCUUACCUUUUUAACUCCAAAUUACUACCAUAAUCCCUCAUUUCUCGUUUCUCAUUUCUCAUUUCUCAACUUCCGUUGAAACCUCUCGUCUCUCAACCUCCCUCAAAUUCUCCGCAACCCUAGCCUCCUUCUAUCCCUCUUCAACUACCACUCCACCACAAUCCAUGGCUUCUUAGGCCAUGGAUGGUUGGUACUCACUCCCCUCCAUCAGUAAGCCAUGGUUGUUCAAAGUUGCAAGACGAAACCUCGAUGGUUCUCUUUUAGAUCUUCUCAGAUAUGUGGAUCUAUGGCUUCUCCGGCCAUUACUAUGACAUAUUCGAGCAAUAUGAGUCUUUUCGACUCAGGAUCGGACUUUCCUCAAGACCUUUCUCAUUUGUAGGGUUUUUCUGCAGCCCAUGUCUAUUCAAGGUUCUUUCUAAUUUUCUUUCAUUAGAUUUGUCAUACAUCUAUGCUCCACUUGAGUUUUCAAACAAUUUCCCCAAUUUUUCUUUCAAAAAUUCUUUUUUUAGAUCUUUCUUUUUCCGAUCUAGGAUUUUAUAAAAUGUUUGAGUGAUUUCUGAACUUCCUUUCCUUUACAUAAACAUGCUCCUACUCUAUUCUUGUAUUCUUCCUUCUACCAUGAUCUUGUAUGACUAUCUUACUAUGUUCUUCUAUAUGUGUUUUUUUUUUGCUAUAACUUUUCUGAGGUUCUUGUAUUCUUCUACUUCAUUUUUCUACUAAGUGUGACAAGUUCUUUGUUUAAUUUUUUCUGUUUUCUCUGCAAUCCAUGGCUAUUUGAGGUUCUUUCCAAUUUUCAUUUCUAAGAUCUAUCACGUAUCUAUGCUCCACUUGGGUUUUUAAAAAAAUUUCCCUAUUUUCUUUUCUUUCAAAAACUACUUUUUAAAAUCAUUUCUCUUUGAUUUAGGGUUUUCUGAAAGAUUUAAAAGGUUUCACCAACUUUUCUUUUUUCCCUUUCUUUGUGUGUGAUUGUUUGCUACUGCUUUCAUAUGUUUCCUAUUACCACAUGGUUCUUCUGUGUUUCUUUAUCUUUUGUUUUCCUACUGUGUUUCUAUACCAUGCUCAUAUGUUAAUCCGUGAUAUUUUCCUUACUCCUUGCUAUAUGUGUUUAUGGUUGAGUUCUUAGAUUUUGUUUACCUUAGCUGAACUCUGUUGGUGUUCUUGCCAAGCAUAUUCCAUCUACUUUUGUUAAUCUCAUAUCAUCUCUUUCUUCUGAACUUAUUUAAGUCAUGAGUUUUCUCAAAUGUGUUCUCCUGACCUUGAAUCAGUUAUCUUUCUAUCAUGUAUAUUUGUUUUAUAAGUCUUUGGAAAAGACUUCUGAACCUCUCUCAAGUGGCUUACCUUCUCAUCUCUAUUGUCGGGCACAAUUCAAAACCCUAGGAUUUGGGGAUUUUGGGCAAUUUUGUUUUCUUGUGCGCGCGUGAAGGUUCCACUUUGGGACCCUGGACUCUCAGUCUCGUUUGAGUUUGCAGACUGGACUAAUACCACUUUUGCUUAUGAUUCUGAAUCUUUCUUUGGUUUAACUCUCUUCUAAAUAACUUGACAAUCUCUUCUUGAUUUACUUAUUUGUGUGCUUUAUAUAGUAGAAACUCCUCUUUCAAAAGAUUUAUACCAACUAAUUGAUUGAUUCUGAAAUCCUUUUAAUAUGGCUGAUGAUUUGUCACUGAUUUUCUUUGAUUGAACCUCAUUUAACUUUUACUGCCUCGGUUCAAUCAAAUUGAAUCUGCAAUUUUGGUUUCACUAGCUGUUUGAUUGAUUCCCUUUCCAUAUUUGUCACAAACUGUGUACCACUGAAUGUUUUCCUAAAAUGACUUAUAUUUAUUUACCCAUUUUGUGCUACUUUGAAAAGGUUUUAAGCAAAAACCUCUUCCCUUAAUAGAUUUUUACCCGUUGAAAUUAAAAUCCUUUAACUAAAGGAAGAUUGAUUUCAAUGAAUAUUUCGUUACCUUUUUCACUUGUUUUCUGCACUAUAAAAGACAUUGCCCUUCUGCACUCUUGAGACAACAAGAACAAUCAUUCUUAACUCCCAAUUCAAUACUCUGACACACAUACCACACUGAGUUCAAUACUCUCUAAACAUCCUAUUUUUUGAGAUCGUUUGAAGUUGUUUUGCUUGCAACUUGGCUUCAUUAAGACUCCUGUUUUUACUUGCUUUUCCCUGAAACUUGUGUGUUCUUAUUUAAUUUUCUAUUUCAUCCCUAUGUGUUUACUUAAUAGUUUUAGCAUUCUUGUUUACUUUGCUACUAUUUUUCAGUAAUUAGACCAUGUAUGUCCUUUCCUUGCAUUGGUUUCCAUUUUGAAUCCCUACCCCAUAUUCCCUUAUAUCUGUCGGAGUUAAGGUUUUUGGCUUAGCAGUAUCCAAAUUACUGUCCAAGUCAUAACCUGAUCCAUAAUGGAUCCUAACUUCUAAGAUUGGGCUGACAGGCUAGUUAGGGUGUACCAGCACUCCCAAUUGAUGGGCAUGACCACAGCCUGCCAUGGAUUUCCUUAAUUCCCUCUUUAUGUACUUGCACUUACUCUUAGACUCUAAGUCAUUCCCCCCUCUUAUGAGCCUUGCUUGGGGACCUUGAGUUUGCUCUGAACUUGGACAUGUGAGGGCCGACCCUUCCACACUGCACUAUGAUCAAAUUCUGCAAUGUAUUUGGGGUGUAUGCACUGUCAGAAGCCCUUUGAGACUCCUGGAACUUUGACACAUCCCAAAUAAGAGAAAGGCUUUUGGAAAUCUGAUCCUAGAAGUUUGUUUAUCUCAUAUUGUUAGACCUUGAGUCUGAAUUAGGUUGUUUGGGUGUCGCUUGAAUUUUUGAUGUAAUUUUUUACUUUAUAUGGUUCAAAUUGGUCUGUAAUAAUUUGUAAUAACUAUGGGUAUGGCUAGUGGAAAGGCAUGGGGAUGAAUGUAUGCAAAUGGUAGAUAACUUUCCUAUAGGAUUUUUCUGAUUCUUGCAUUCACAUAGGCAACAUGCCUAUAGGUUACUGCAUUCAUGUAGAUAACUUGCCUAUAGGAUAUUUCUGAUUCUUGCAUUCCCAUAGACAACAUGCAUAUAAGUUACUGCAUUCACGUAGAUAACUUGUUCAUAGGAAUUCUUGAACUUCUGCAUUCUCAUCUUAAAAAUCCUGCCUAUAAUGCCUGCAAUUCCUGCAUAUAGAAAUCCUAUCUCUAAGUUUCUACAUUCUGCAUAUACAAACCAUGAUCAUAGGUUUUUUCCUGUACUUCGGCAUAUAUAUGUCAUUAGGCACACAAUUUUAGGUUUAAUAAUGAUCUAUAUAUACCUAUCAUUAGGAAAACAAUCAUAGGUUUAACAGUAAUCAACUUCAUUCUAGAUAUCAUGCCUAUAGGACUCCCGCACUUAUACAAUCAUUUAAAACCAACAACGCUUAGAAAUCGUGCCUAUAGGAUUAAUGAGUUGAAUCACCUUUGUCUAUUUCCUCUAUAAGUCGAGAAUCAGUAAAUAAGGCAGUUUAAAAUCUGCAGAACCUUUUGUUUGUAAAACUAGUAAUCAUUUUUUCUAAUACUUGACACCUUCUGCACUAUUAGAUAUCAUGCCUAUAGGUCUCACCUAGGCAAGCCAUUAGGUGAUUAAUCAACUGGGUCAGUUCUUAGUAAAUUAUAGUGAAAGCAAGCCUAAUUCGCACAUCCCAUCUGAGAAGUAUGUGAUAAAUUAGCAUGUCCUAAUACUUUAAAGUUAACUCAGACCUUAACUAGUAUUUGAGGUCAUGCUAUAUAAUUUUCUUCUUAAGUGAGGAGGCCUAUUUGAGCCUUAGCUGCUAUUUGCUUUCCCCCUUAAUUGCUUGUGUGUCCUUGUUUGUCCCCCAAGACUCUUAUCCUUUUAAACUUUGAAAAGACCCAACCCCCUCCCUUUUAGGAUUAGUAGUCCUAACAUCUCCGGGACUGACAGGAUUGGGACGGGUAAUAGCAUGCAAUAAAUAACGACACUAUUUCGCGCUUUAAUACCUUAACGGGGUGGGAAAGGUAGAUAUGGAUAUGAUGACCGGUGCGCUAAUACCUCAUGCAGCCCCUCUCUUUUAAGGAGUGAUUACUGGGUAUUGCAUUGACGUGAUCCAUAUUAAUCAUAAACCUAGGACCCCCUUCCCCUUUACUUGUUUAUUCUUUUUCAUAAUUGUUUAAAUCUUUUCUUAAAAUGUCUUCCCUCUUUAUUUUUUCUCAAAAAAUUCAAUUUACUUGCAAUAUAAUGUGAAAACACCUUCUACUUGAGCCCUUAUUGGUUUACUUGAUACGUAAAGUCACAAUAAUAACAUGGUCGGGACCCACACUAGCGAAUCCUGAGGGGUGCCUAACACCUUCCCCUCGGGAUGAUUUCUAGCCGUUAACUGAACUAUCUAUUUUCCAACUCAAACCCUUCUUUAAUAGCCCAAAUCUAUUCGAUUCAAUUACAUAUGGUAAAUAAUAUCCCAAGCAACUGAUUCUACUAUUUAAUUAAAAGCUAAGGCACAAAAUUAGGUAAAAUGACCAAAACAUUCCUUGGGCCAAUGUCUCAAAAUCAGACAAUUUUUAAAUUUUCAGGACCCUCAUACUCUCACGAGUCUAAUCAUACAAGAAUCUCUCAAAUCAGAGGUCAAACACCCACAAAAAAUUAAACAAUUUGGUCUAUGAAGUUUUACCCAUUUUCCAUUCAAAAAUCCGAAAUUAAUCAAUGAUUAGAUUAGAAGAUAUUAAGCAUAAGAGAGUAUAGAAUCAUUACCCAAUCGUUGCCCCUGAAAACCCUCAAAAUCUCUCCCAAAUCCAAGCUCUCAAGCUUGCGUUUUGGUAAAAAUGGCUAAACCUCGGAUUUUAAUGUUUAUAACUGCCCAGGCCUUUUAUUCAUCGCGAACGCGGAAGUAUGCCGGCGUUCGCGAAGAAGAAAAACUGAAGUUUCCAAAAAAAUGUUGUUCACGAUCGUGAGAAGCAAUACACAAACGCGAAGGCCUGACCUGACAAGGCUACGCAUAUGCAACAAGGUGUACACGAACGCGAUGGAGGAAAAGGUGGAACUUCGUGAACACGAAAGGACCAGAUGCGAACGCGAUGAGGAAACAGGUCUCUCUCCACAAAUACUCUAUGUGAACACGUGGAGGAGGAUGCGAACGCUAGGAAGGAAAGAUUAGAGCUUUGCCAACGCGAUAGGAGCAACGCGAGCGCGAAGAAGAAUUGGACCUACAACUGUUGAAGGAUUUUCUGCAACUUUUCACAACUCCAAAAUGCUCCAUUGAGCAUCUGAGACACACCCGAGGCCCCCGCGACCUCAACAAAACCUACAGACGUAUCCCAUAAUAUCAUUCAAAAUUGUACCAAUCCUUAAACCACCUAAAAUAAUGCCGGAAACCCGAAUUAAUCAAGGAUUUGAGCCUAAGAACUUCAACUUCCAUCAAAAUACGCUUUCGAUCAAUAACCUAACCAAAACACGUCCGAAUGACCUGAAAUUUUGCACACAUAUCCCAAAUGACAUGACCGAACUAUUGCAACUUCAGGAAUUACAUUCAGACCCUUGGAUCAAAAACUCAAUAUCGGACUGGAAACUUCAAAAUUCAAACUUCGACAUUUCAAGCCUAAAUUAGCUACAGAACUCCAAAAUGCAUUCCGAACAUACCCUCGACCCCAAAAUCACCUAACGGAGUAAUAGAACCAUCAAAUUUAUGAGGUUGUAUUCAUACUGUCCCGACUACGGACAUCUUUCCAAUAUUUAAUCUCUUAUUUAGGGACUAAGUGUCGCAAAACUCUCCAAAACUAAAAAUAGAAUAUCCCGAAAAAUCAAAUAAACAGAAAUAAACUUAGGGAAAGUAGUAAAUAGGGGAUCGGGACGUUAAUUCUUAAUACGAUCAGCCGAUUGUCAUAGAACGUUGGCCAUACUCUAUUGCCCCAAUUCACUCAUUUCAUUUUCAAGAAUCCUUAUAGAUUAUCAACAACAAGACAUUUUCAAUCAAGACUCUAGGUACACAUUUGAGUAAUUUAGAGCCUUAAUUAUAUUGAGUUUUUCUCACCAAAUUGGUAUAUUAUUUUUCAUUAUAAACAUGACUCAAAGUCAUAACUUUUCAAUAUGCAAAUCAGACUAUGAACAUCUAUCUUUUGACAUAAGGCUCAAUCGGAAUAAUCAAGUUUAUAGGGAAUAACUAGGAAUACAGAAAGUAGGAAUAUUGAGCUAACUAUACCCAAUAUUACGGAAAUAUUAUGGAAUUCGAUUCUAAGAGAGAAUGUUUAACCAAAAUACCCUGUCCAAGAUUUCCUUAAGUUAUUACAAUGUCCCAACACUUCUAGUAAUGACAAUCUAUAGGAAGAUAGUGAAAAUCGUUUAGGAAUCAGAAGGAUUUCCACGAUGUAACUCUCUUUAAAAUUUUGUCUAACACCAAACAUAAGAAAUAGUCUAAAAGAAUCUUCAGUGGAGAUCUUUUCAUCCCUCAACCAAUUUAAACAAGAAACUAAACAAAAUGGUUCAUUACUCCACAUACUAAAACUUUGUGUCACAUGCAUGACCUAUUUCCAACCCCACAAUAUAUUUGAACUUUAACCUCUUGUAUGAAAGCUUAGAAUUAGGACUUACUCGGAAGAUAAUGAUAUAGUGAUUGGAUUCCUUGAUUAUUGAAGAUUCGUGCAAGAUUGGAUGACUGUGGUGUUAGAUUUUCUCUUUGUCUCUCUAAAACGCUAUUACCUCUCUCUAAAUUUACGAGAAAAUCAUCCCAAAUAAAGCCCAAAGGUUACUUAUUAAAAUGGGGUCGUUUCAUAAAAAAACGUAGAAUUUGCACAUUGUGGCGCGUGGGGUGCUGUGUAGGGAGGUGUUGUAGUGAAAAAUGUGUCCACAAAUGAAAUUGUAAAGUGUUUGGAAAUUUGCACAACUGCGCUGCAUGGGUGCUGCAUGUGGCGGCGCGGUAGUGUAAAAUUCUGCCAGCUUUUGGUAAUUAGGUCAUAACUUCUUAUAUGAUUGUACAAAUGAUGCACGGUUCAAAGUGUUAGAAACUAGAUCGAAGAUAUUUAAUUUGAUAGGUUUUUAAUCACAUAAAUCAAUAUGAUAGACUAGACUCAAAGAUAUUUAAUUAAAAACUUUUGAUAGGUUUUUAAUUUGGAACUUUUGGAAAACUAAAGGAUAGACUAAAGUUCCAUAUGUAUACAUGCUCGUCAAAAGGUUUAUCCUGUGCGUACUCAUUUGCAACUUUAGUCUAUCAUUUAAUUUUCCAACAUGUCUUAGACUUAAGCCCCUCCUUAGAUUCCAAAUCACUUAUAAUGUGCCUCAUACACUUAUUAUUUAUCCAAUUGAUAUCCAUCAUAUUAGUAGUCCUUGUCUGCACACAAAAUAAUAUAAUUAGCGCACAUCAACUUUCUUAAUAGAACUUAUGUACUUCAAAAUUUUUAGAGGUGCUAAAUUCUCCUCCACUUAGGAUCAUUCGUCCUCGAACGAGAAGUAGAGUCUGCACCCAAACAUAUAAUAUAACUUAUCUCUUCUUUCACACAUCUCAAUCUCCGAAAUUUUACGAAGUCCCAAAUUUUUCAGAAAUUUUGGCAGGGUUUUCUUUCUAAUUGGAUCCAUCCACCUGCCAGAGAAUCACCAAAAUCAUACUUACAACACAUCCACAACUUAAAAAAGCAUCACAAUGUAUAGCAACAACAGUAAUCUCAAUAUUACGAGCAUUAUAUUUUCAAAUUAAUACAUGGACAUGAGUGGCACCUAUUUAAAUCGUAACACAUAGAAAAUACCUUUCGACCCAUAAUUAUUUGACUAUACAUCUAAGUGGAAAAAAUUUCUUUCCUUAACAAUUUUGGCCUUCGAGGUGGGCUCCUCGACUCACAGACAUCGCCAUAACACAUUCAUGGAGGAAAUCUCAACUCCCAGACUUACCUAUCUAGGAUGACAAUUAAGUACUUCUCAUAGGCAUUUUAUCCAAUUACUUCACCUCCACUAGCUUUCGCAUGAACGAUAGACAGAGAAUUCCAUCUACCUUCAUAGACAUUGUAACAUGAAACACUAGGUACAUAGAGGACAAUAAUAUGGAAACAUCAUACUCAUAGUUUGGCCUAUUUCUUUUAAGAUUUCAUAAGGACAAGUGUGGCUACAUAUACUUUACCCCUAUUAAAAAUUCACAUAACAUCCUCAUGGAGAAAAUAUUGACAAUAAACCAUUCACUUUUUUCAACUCUAAAUCUCUAUGCUGAACACCCAAACCAAACCUUUGGCGACCUCCAGCAAUUACUCUAAGAUGUGUUGGAAUGGAUAUGACGAUAAAAUUUCCUAUCCAUAUAUAUUGAUCACAUGAUGAUACUUCUUCUUUGACAUAUCUAAAUCUUCAACCCCAUGGAUUUAAUACAAUAAGGAACAAUGGAGUUCAAGAUUGGGCUGGAAUUAUUUAAGAAUCAAUCAAUGUGCCAAGCGAAGUAUUUCAAAAGGUUACAUGCUAAGAGACAUGAAGGUUACUACCAAUUCCGCAUUAGUUUAGCUUGAAACGAGAAUAUUUUGGCACACUGAAUAUGAUAUGGUUUCAAAAUGCAUGAAUUUGCAUUAUACUUGGCAUAAGAAAUCUAUGCCACAACCCUAUGAGGUUGAAAAAGAAGUUGAACACUUGUGAUACUAUUAUAAUCCUAACAACUUAACCCUUGCCAAUAGUUGAUACUAUAUAGGAGGACUAGAGAUGCGACAGACUUGUCUUUUACUCAUCAUAUAUGACAAAAUCCGGCAGCAUCUAAUGUCAACCUUUCAUGAGUGAAACAACAUAGAUGGGACAUUGAAAUAUUUGAGAUGAAAUCAUGUAUUGGUUAGAGAAAUGAACAUUUUUCUAUGAAAUAGUAAUGUUUCUCUCAUAAUAACUCUCAGCCAUUUCAUGGAAAGCUACAAUACUAGUUCCAAAGAGAGAUACUUACAGUGAGAUGAUUUAGGUGGACAUGAAAGUAAUAAUUAGAUGUGUGAGCAUGUAAUUUUUGCCCCAUAUGAAUUACUCUCACAAAUUCAAAAAAAAUAAUUUUUUUUAAUUGUUUGCAAUUUUGUGGAUUUUCGUGGCACUUUCUUCUAGUUGUUUGCAUUUUGUUUGUGUAUCUUAAUUAUUGAAAAAAUAAAAAAAUAUGUUGCAUGUGUAUUUAGAAGUUAAUUUGACAUUUUUCAAGAUUUAAUUAGCAAUUAGUCAUUUUAUAAAAAAAUAAAAAAUAAUUUAAUUCACACCUUUAAUUUUAACUUUGAUGUUAGCUGAUUUUUCUUUCAAUUUAUUUUAAUUAUUUGGAAUAAUUUGGUUUCAUAAUUUAAUUUAGGAUUCAUUUUCGUAUUAAAAUAAAAAAAAAUGUGUUCAUUUGACAUUCUUCUUUUCAAAAUUUUGAAUAUGAGAAUUAUUUAAUUUUUAUAAUUUUCUUAUUGAUAAUUAGGCUAAUUUAGUAAGAUAAUUGAGCUUAGGAACUAAUUUAGGUUUUUACUUUAAUUUGAAAAAUAAUUAAAAAUCAAAUAAUACCCUGUUACCCGCCCAAAUACCCCGGACCUGGUCCAAAACCCAUCCCAUUACUUGGUCCAGCAACCCCAAUAAGUGAAACGACACCAUUUUAUUUGAAUAGAUCUCAGUCAUCGAGGUUGUAAGAUCUAACAGCUCAGAAGCUGGGUUGGAGGAGUAUUUAUAUGUCCCAACUCACCCCCACCUCGUCUCUCAUCUCCCUCACCCUCAAAGAAACCUCCACCAUCACCGCUGCCGGAAAUUGCGUCACGGCGGCGGCAGACUUCCGAUGGCCAUCAAAUUCAUACCACAACACCCUCAUCCCCCACCUAUGCCCAUGGCACUACAAUCUUCUUUCGAAUCUCACCAUAUUUUUUCAAAUAUCCAAAACCCUAGGGCGCCGUCAUUGGCUCCUCUACCGUGUACGGCAGUGCCGCUACCAAUCAACCCCAAAAUUACACCACAUACUCAUCAUGCUCCCCUCUUCCUAAAUAUCUAACCUGUAUCAUUCGAAUCCCAGUAAUUCAUCUUGAAUAUUGAAUCAAAAAAGCCAGGCCAGAACCUAAUCGCUCCAAACGGCCUCAAACUGGUACAAGGCCACCCCUAUAUCCUCAUCUUCCCAAAUUCAUCAACAAAAUCACCAUUUUCGGUGAGUCUUGAACCCUGCUUCAUCUUCUUUAAAAAAUUAAUUUGCUUGGUUUUCUUUCUCUUUUCUUAUGUUUCUUCUUUAUGAUUUCUUUUGGUUACUACUAAGACUUGUUCAUCCGAGUUUGAUUAAGUUUUAUUAGUAUAGAUUUGCAUGUGUUUAAAUAGUUGUGAAAUUAGGUCUAGCUGAUCUUGUUUAAUCUCGUUGUUCAGUUAUUUUCCAUGAUUAAUUGUAUGAAGGGUUCAGUUAUCGUGCUGUUGUUUUUCACCUUUAAUUGCAUGAUAGGAACUUAGCCUUUACCCAUGAAUUUUGAAGUUUAUCAGAAAUAAACUUUUGGUUUAAUUGCAAGAACAUAUAGGGUUUAUGCUAUUUUUUAUUAGGUCUUGAUUAUUAGCUAUUGGCUUGUAAAGUUCUGAAAUUGGUAAAGAUUUCUAGGGUCGUUGAGCAAAUAAAAAUUUAAGGGGCUUAAGGAUCAGAAAGAGGUUGUUUAAGUAAUUAAGGGAUAUAUUGGGGUUAGUUAAGGUAUUUGAUUGAAGGAAUCUUAGAGUAACAACAAUAAGAAGCUUAUAGCAGGGGUCUCUAUUGAGUUUGAGAGUUGUAGUGGUUAUGACUUAGUUACCAAGUCAAAAUAUUAAGGACUAAAAUACAAAACUGAAUUGUAAGGGUACCCCACUUGCCUUGCCUAUAAAGGAAUUUAUUCUUACCUUUCAAGGCAAGACUGGAAGAGAGCUAAAAACUCAUAAAAAUAGAAUGGAUGAGAAUUUUUUAAAAAAAACAUUGUUUCAUUACAUUUUCAAAAAUCUGAUUCUCUAUUAACUUCUGGAACCAUUUUGAUUCACCUAAAGUAAGAAAUGGCUUAAAUUUGGCUAUCAAAGUUUGGUUUAGAAGUCUGCUGGGUUGUUUGUCUAUUCUGAACCUAACAUAUUGAACUAUCAUCCAUCAUCCUUGGUUUUGAAGCUAUUUUCUGGUUGUUUGUUGUUAGUUUAUACUGCAGAACCUGCUGAUAUUGCAUUGCACUGCUGACUCUCUCCCUUUCCUUUACUUUACUUUCCAGGUACACAACUAUGUAACCUUAUUGACAGUGAAGUAGGAAUUUGAAGAAUGAAUUGAUUGGAAGAGUUGAAACAUGAAGAAUUACUCAAUUUUUGCUUCAUGGCUUAUUUCCUUAGUUUAUUGUAACUUUUGGUCAUGUUUAUGCUUAUUUGAUGUUUGCUAAAAGAUUUUUAGUUUUUGAGUGUUGAUAUGUGCUUGUGGAUUUGGUCAUUUAUAGGCCAAAUCAGCAGGUACUAAAUCCAGUACUAGAUCUGCUGAGAAUAUUGUAUUAGUCUGCAUUUGUCAGCAUAUCUGAUCCAUGAACUGUUGUAUUAGAGGUAUUUGUCAGUUGCCUCUCACUUUUCGUAUUGUUUGGCCAAAUAUUUUGUCUUAAGCUAAUCUGUGGUGUCUUAUGAAACGGAAAGCAAAUGAACUUUUUUGUACAGCCUCCAUAAUUUGAUAAACUGGAGAUUAUUUUUAAUUUGGGUCUGUUACUGCAUUUUUUAUGAGGAAGUUUUGAAUACUUUGGUGUGGAUUUGAUUCUUUUUAGAACUGGAAUAACCUGGAAUGUAGUAUACCAGUAAUAAGAUAUAUCACAUUGAUCUAAAUUGGAGUGUAUUGAUUGUAUCCAUAUCUCAAUUCCAGCAUGAAGUCUGCGUCACUUAAGUUGCACCUGCAGUGAAUGCCUUCUGGGCUGCAUGUAGCUCAUCAUGCUUUUAAUAAUUUGAUUUAUUGGAUAGAGGUUUCAUAUUGUACAAGCUAUUUACCUUAGUGAACAUUGACCAUAUGUAGAUCAUGAAAAAAAUGAGAGAAGCUGAUCACUUAUUGAUAAUUCCUCAAGUAUCGUCUAACUAGUAAUUCAAGAAGUAAAAUCAGACAACUAUCUGGCCUUCGUAACUUAACUUGAAAACUUUUGAUUAGAAUAAAUCGAGGCGUACCAUUUAGCAAAUUUUCAUGGCCCUAACACAUUCGAAAAUGAGUAAUUGUUUUUGGGCACGUCAGUUAAUAAUGUAAUUUCCUAAAUUCGGGUGCAAAUUUAUGUGACCCAAAUCCAAAUCCCAACAAUGUUAAAAUAUGUCGAAGAACACGAGUGAAUCUAUGUGACGUGGUCCAAGACGUGUUUUAAUAGCAUUGCAAUUUUUCGAAAUAACAAAAGCGGUCAAAAGAUUUAAAAUGCACAUAGGUUCAAAAUGUAAUAAAAUCAGAUAAUUAAGCCGAAUAUAAGAGUUAAGCGACCGUGCUAGGGAACUCGGGAAUGCCUAACACCUUCUUCCGAGUUAACAGAAUUCCUUACCUGGAUUUCUGGCUCGCAGACUGUAUUACGGAGUCCUCGAUUCAGGAUUUAAAGCGGUGACUUGAGACACCAUUAAUUAUCCUAUAUGGCGAGUCUGAAUUUUUAAUAAACAAAUAAUCUCGUUUCGAUUGUUCUUUAAUUGGAAAAACUCCCUUAACUAUGCCAUCUGCGAGGUGUAGUGGUAAAAGGAAUGUGUGACAAGAUGGGCAAAUAACAAGAUCUCCCUGGGGCGCUGCGUGGGACAACGUGGUAGUGUAAAAUUCUGCCAGCUUUUGGUAAUUUUGUCAUAACCUCUUGUAAGAAAGUCCAAAUGAGAAGCGGGUUGAAGCAUUAGAAACUAGACUCAAAUUUAUUUAAGUUAAUAGGUUUUUCAUCAUAUAUAUAUAUAUANNNNNNNNNNNNNNNNNNNNNNNNNNNNNNNNNNNNNNNNNNNNNNNNNNNNNNNNNNNNNNNNNNNNNNNNNNNNNNNNNNNNNNNNNNNNNNNNNNNNNNNNNNNNNNNNNNNNNNNNNNNNNNNNNNNNNNNNNNNNNNNNNNNNNNNNNNNNNNNNNNNNNNNNNNNNNNNNNNNNNNNNNNNNNNNNNNNNNNNNNNNNNNNNNNNNNNNNNNNNNNNNNNNNNNNNNNNNNNNNNNNNNNNNNNNNNNNNNNNNNNNNNNNNNNNNNNNNNNNNNNNNNNNNNNNNNNNNNNNNNNNNNNNNNNNNNNNNNNNNNNNNNNNNNNNNNNNNNNNNNNNNNNNNNNNNNNNNNNNNNNNNNNNNNNNNNNNNNNNNNNNNNNNNNNNNNNNNNNNNNNNNNNNNNNNNNNNNNNNNNNNNNNNNNNNNNNNNNNNNNNNNNNNNNNNUCCCAAACUAUAUAUAUAUAUUUAUAUAUAUUUAUAUGUGUGUGUGUGUGUGUUUGUGUGUAGAUAUGCUCGUACAAUGUUUGGUUUGUGCAUACUCAUUUGGACUUUUAGUCUAUCAUGUAAUUUUCCGACUUGGGUUAGACUUAGGCCCCUCUAUGUACCCCAAAUCACUUAUAAUAUGACUCGUACACUUAUUAUAACGUCCAAUUGAUAUCCAUCAUAUUAAUAGUCCUCGUCUGCACACACAAAAUAAUGUAACUGCGCACAUAAACUUUCUCAAUAGCGCUUAAGUGCUUCAAAAUUUUACGGGGUACUACAAAAACUUUAUGAGUAGCUUAGUAAGCAAUUUCUAUAUUCUGAGCUAACUCAUCGGGCCUUUGAUGUUCGGCCUUCACUUGUUGACUGUUUGAACAUCUUGCCACAAUGUUCGCUACGCCCCUCUUCAUGUCAUUCCACAUGUAAACUUCCUUGAGGUCAUGAUAUAUUUUUAUAGAACCUUGAUGAACAAAAUAUCCAGAAGUGUUAGAUUCUACCAUGAUUUUAUCCCGAAGACCAUCCAUGUUUAGAACACAUAGUCGCCCUUGGUACCGUAAUCUACCGUCAUCCAUACCAACAGAAAAAGCCAUAGUCUUAUGUUAAUGAAUCCCUUCCUUUAGCUAUACCAUCAUUGGAUCGUUGUAUUUUUCCUUGACCUCUGCCACGAGCGAUAGUUCUACCAUAUUCCGCACAAUCACUCCCCCUUCGCUAGAGUGUGCAAGACAAACUCCAAAAAUGGCCAACUAGUGAACCUCCCGAGCCAAGGGCCCUGUCUCCAAGUGGUCCAAACUACCUAUAGAUUUCUGACUAAAAGCAUCUGCCACCACAUUAACUUUCCCUGGAUAAUACAAAAUGUCGAUGUCAUAAUCAUUGAGCAACUCAAGCCACCAUAUUUGCCUCAAGUUCAAUUCCUUAUAUUUGAAAAUAUAUUGAAGACUCUUGUGGUCUGGGGAUACAUAUUCAUGGACUCUAGACAAAUAAUGACACAAUAUUUUUAAUGCAAAAACCACCACCGCAUGUUCUAAGUCGUGAGUUGGGUAGUUUUUCUCAUGAUUCUUAUGUUGUCUUGAAACAUAAGCUAUAAUCUUACCAUGUUGCAUCAACACACACACAAGACCGACCCUUAAAUAAUCACAAUACACCACAAAUCCUCCUAAACCAUCUGGCAGGGUCAACACUGGCGCCAAAAUUACUCUUGACUUCAAUCCAUGGAAACUCCUUUCACAAGCGUAGGACCACUGGAACUUGGCCACUUUUUCCGUCAGUAUGGUCAAUGGAGAGGCAAGAGUGGAAAACCCUUCAAUGAAUCUCAUAUAGUAACCAGCCAAACCCAAGAAAGUGCGAAUCUCUGUUGGAGUGGUAGAUCUAGGCCAAUCCUUUAAUAUUGCGAUCUUUUGAAGGUCAACCUUAAUUCCUUCUCCGGAGACGACAUACCCCAGAAAUGUAACAGAUUCAAAGCCAAAAUUCACAUUUCGAGAACUUUUCAUAUAACUUGUGUUAAUGAAGAGUCUGAAGCCUAGGAUUUAAGGAAAAGUACUUUAAUACCUUUACAUGGAUUUUAGAACUUUCUUAGUACUCUUCCAUCUCGAAGGCCCACAAACUGAGCAAUUAUCCGCAUUCACAUUGUCAUUCCAAAAUAGCAUGCAAUCAUUAAGGCAUGCAUGUAUCUUUUCAUAAUGAAGACCCAAAUCUCUUAUCAUGUUUUAUGCCUUAUAAAAUGACACUAGUAGUUGACCAAAGGGAAAUGCGUCUUUUAUCAACUCUAGAAUGUCUGCAAAUUCCACAUUACUCUCCCCAUGCAAGGAUUUAAGCAAGUAAAACCGAAUGGUAAAACUUAGUUUAGUAAAAUUUUCACAUCCAGGAUACAACUCUUAUUUUCCUUUAUCCACCAAUCUAAAAAAUCUCUUUGCAUUAUCAGAUAGUCCAUCUUUCACUCUUUCUUCACGCCAUGAAUCACACUCUAUAUAUCUAAAUAUAUCACAAAGUAGUCAAUCAAUAUUCUCACGCAUGUCGAAAUCAUCAUCAUCAUUGCAUGGUUUAGGUGGAUUUGCUGAGGAAAAUCCUUCCCCGUGGAAAAUCCAUUUGGUGUAACCAUAAACUAAUCCAUUUAAUACCAAGUGAUCAUCCACUAUAUUUCUAUAAUGCCAAUUGCGAUUCACGCAUUUUUCGCAAUGGCAUAAUAUUUUAUAUCCCUGGGAAGCUCGUUCAAAUUCCUUAUCAAGAAAAGUAUUUACUCCACGAAUAUACUCAUCCGUCCAUCUUAUGAGAUUCAUGCAACUUUUAUCUCCAUUAUCUAUUGAAUUUCUAUAUGAUACGAGUAAAUCACCAAAAUUAAGUUUUAUGUUAACCUGAGUUAUAAAUAAUAAAAGAUAACUAAUGUUAUCAAAUAAACUAUGAUGAAGUACUCUGUUAAUUAAGGAAUCAAGGAUAGCGAUUUAGUUUUCAUUGAAUAUCUGUAACCUUCAAAUCUUUACAUAUUAUAAGUAUUCUACAAGCAAAUAAGAUCCUUUUCUCCGUAAUACAUAUGCAUACAAGGGGUUUAACGAAUAAACCACUUCCACGGAUAUAAAAAAAUCCGAACAAGCAAGAUCUCAAUUUAAAUUAUAGAAAUAAUUCCAUGCUUACUUCUUACAAGAGUAGAAACAUAAAGAUAUAGCAAUUAAGGGGGGUUUUGGUAACUAGGAUAUAGGAGUUUGGUAUGUUGCUUUACUAAGGUCAUCUAUGUAUGAGGUGCUCUUUUUUGCAUAGGAAAAUGAUUUUUGUUAUGUUAAAAUGAUGAAAGAAAACAACGGUCAGUAAUAAAUAUCCGUCAAGUGCAAUAAUAGAAAUAUGUUUAUUCAAUCACCCCUUAUAUGCUGAACUUUUUAUUAUUAAUUUAUUAUGGUUCCACGACCUCGGCUUUGUAACCAAGAACAUUUCCACCAGAUCAGUGUCCAUGAAAUCAAAUUGUUCCCUUAAAUUAUUUGAACAUUUUGUAGACAAUUUAAUAUCAUGAGAUCAAGUCUAAGGUGAAUUAGUUCUGUAUGUCAUUGCAUUGAUAAAGUUAGUUCAGUUAACAUUCAUACUUGAAACUUUAAAGACUUCACAAAGUACGCUAAAAUUUGAAAUCCGAGCUCAAGUCUCUGCCUAGAGACAUCUUUGGUAGCAUGAAGAUAUCUUGACAGAGAUUGCCAACAACAUCAAGAAAGGUCCAUAGAGUGGUAGACCAUACAGUAUUAUCCAAGAGAUUCUAUCAACGGAAGAUUUAGAGGAACAUUUCAGAGAUCAUAGUUGUCACAUGAGGUUCAUUGAGGACAAGUUAUUGACAGAGUUCUUCUUUUUUCGAUUUCAGUUAUUUUCCCCAUGUGAAACUUGUGGAGCCAUUGAAUGUACUCUUGCACAGAUUUUUAUAAUUUUGGUCUCUGAGUUGAUGGAUGUUUCUAGAAUUCAGGAUGAACCCAAAUAAUGUUAGUAGCAUUCUUUUGAAACGUCCCUUUGGAAAGAUAUCUGUUAAUUUCUAAUCUACACAAUAUUAUCAGCAACAUUUAUGUGGAUCUAUAUGUCUACCUGAAUAGUAAGAUUCAAUGUCAUUGUAUCGUCGCAAUUAAAUGUGUUGAUGCCUUUCUGUUUGAGUUCUUCUUCUAAUAUUGGUGCAUACUAGAUAAAACACAAUAACUACGUAGAUUAUAUACUUCAAGCUUGUAGGGUUAUUGAUGAUUCUGUUAGUUAUCCUUAUAAUUUUAAACCAAUCUAAGUAAAGUCAAAAUAUAAAAGAAAUCUUUUUUCUGCAUGCUGCAAUAUGAGAAAAAAAAGUACAACCCAGUAUAAUCCCACUUAGUGGGGUCUGGGAAGGGUAGUAUGUACGCAGACCUUACCCNNNNNNNNNNNNNNNNNNNNNNNNNNNNNNNNNNNNNNNNNNNNNNNNNNNNNNNNNNNNNNNNNNNNNNNNNNNNNNNNNNNNNNNNNNNNNNNNNNNNNNNNNNNNNNNNNNNNNNNNNGUUUCCAAAUANNNNNNNNNNNNNNNNNNNNNNNNNNNNNNNNNNNNNNNNNNNNNNNNNNNNNNNNNNNNNNNNUCCUUCCCUCCAAGUACUACCCACCUUUGCUCUUGGGGGAGACUUGAACUCACAACCUUUCGGUUGGAAGUGGGUGUUGCUUACCAUCCGUGCAUGCUCCAAUAUGAGAAUCAAUUAUAAUAACCAGAGUUUCUUCCAAUAAAAUUAAUAAGAUAGAUUCCACAUCUCUAAAAUUAUAACCUACUGUAUCAAGUAGCAAUACCAACUAAUAUUGGAUAUUGUGUUAUUCAUCAACUAUUUCAGAUUAUACAAGUUAACGAAUCAUGGCUAAUUGAUAAAUUUUAUAGUAUAGUAGAACCACCCUAAUGGAAAAAAAUCUAAUAAUUUCAGUUCAAAUCAUAAAUCUAAAGCAACAUAUAACCACUUAUACCCAAAAUAUUAAAGAACAGAGAAAUGAUUUUUAAAAAAAUGACCAAAAAUAUCUAAAUUAGAAAGGAAGAACUUACAACUUCUUCGGGUAGCGAUAUUUCACAGUGUGCCUUUGGCGACUAUAAUUUCUCGCAAUUGACAUUAACCGAGAAACUAAUUGUAUGAACACACUCAAGGAAUCAAUCUUUUCCGGAGAAUCUACCAACAAAAAACUUGCUUCUAAAUGUGGCUGCUGAAUAAACCAAAGACUCUCAUUAAAAAAUGCAUUUAAAAUUAAAAUCAAAAAGUAAGACCACCAAUUUGUGGGCAUGUAAACAAAAACCACAACAAAAAUUGAAAAUAUGAAACUAGGAUAAAUAGGGAAACUUACAUAGAUGACAGAAAGUGAAAUUUCAAUCACAACAUAUGAACCCUAAGCAUUGUUAAUGUUGGGAACCCACGAUUCUGAAAUUAGGACAUCACGAUUUGCUACUUUAGGUAUUUGAUUUACUCCUCUACACAAAGAAACCUAAAUCUCACCAUGCCUAAGAACCCUAAUUGUGCUUUUUAUGUUGGAAAUUUGGAUGAGAGAGAGAGAGAUUGGGAGUAAAAAUGGGAGAUGAAAUUGGGAGUGAAAGUGGAGAGAGAAACAAAUUGGUUUAGACUUUAGAGUCUGAUGAUAUUGCAAAACAAAAUUGGAAGUUAUGUGGUUUCACAUUAUUUUAAUUACUAAGAAAUAAUAGUAAAAAUUAUUAAUGAAAAUACAUAUUGGAAGAUUUAGCAAACUAGAAGCGGAAAAAUUAGGAGGAACCCAUAACCACCCCAUAGAUAAU